GAUGAACGCUGGCGGCGUGCCUAAUACAUGCAAGUCGAGCGAACAGACGAGGAGCUUGCUCCUCUGACGUUAGCGGCGGACGGGUGAGUAACACGUGGAUAACCUACCUAUAAGACUGGGAUAACUUCGGGAAACCGGAGCUAAUACCGGAUAAUAUAUUGAACCGCAUGGUUCAAUAGUGAAAGACGGUUUUGCUGUCACUUAUAGAUGGAUCCGCGCCGCAUUAGCUAGUUGGUAAGGUAACGGCUUACCAAGGCAACGAUGCGUAGCCGACCUGAGAGGGUGGCGGGCCACACUGGAACUGAGACACGGCCCAGACUCCUACGGGAGGAACCAGUAGGGAAUCUUCCGCAAUGGGCGAAAGCCUGACGGAGCAACGCCGCGGGAGUGAUGAAGGUCUUGGGAUCGUAAAACUCUGUUAUUAGGGAAGAACAAAUGUGUAAGUAACUAUGCACGUCUGGACGGUACCUAAUAAGAAAGCCACGGCUAACUACGGG
rnacentral:rRNA from 1 species